rnacentral:rRNA from 1 species
UACGUAGGGCGCAAGCGUUGUCCGGAAUUAUUGGGCGUAAAGAGCUCGUAGGUGGUGUGUCGCGUCUGCCGUGAAAGCCCGGGGCUUAACUCCGGGUCUGCGGUGGAUACGGGCAGACUAGAGGCAGGUAGGGGAGAACGGAAUUCCCGGUGUAGCGGUGAAAUGCGCAGAUAUCGGGAGGAACACCAAUGGCGAAGGCAGCUCGCUGGGACGGUACUGACGCUGAGACGCGAAAGCGUGGGGAGCAAACAGG